GACGAACGCUGGCGGCGUGCUUAACACAUGCAAGUCGAGCGGUAAGGCCCUUUCGGGGGUACACGAGCGGCGAACGGGUGAGUAACACGUGGGUGACCUGCCCUCAGCUCUGGGAUAAGCCUGGGAAACCGGGUCUAAUACUGGAUAUGACUCCAUGACGCAUGUUGUGGGGUGGAAAGCCUUGUGCGGCUGAGGAUGGGCCCGCGGCCUAUCAGCUUGUUGGUGGGGUGANGGCCUACCAAGGCGACGACGGGUAGCUGGUCUGAGAGGACGGCCAGCCACACUGGAACUGAGACACGGUCCAGACUCCUACGGGAGGCAGCAGUGGGGAAUAUUGCGCAAUGGGCGAAAGCCUGACGCAGCGACGCCGCGUGGGGAUGAAGGCCUCGGUGUAACCCUU
rnacentral:rRNA from 1 species